rnacentral:rRNA from 1 species
GUGAGGAAUAUUGCGCAAUGGAGGCAACUCUGACGCAGCCAUGCCGCGUGCAGGAAGAAGGCGCUACGCGUUGUAAACUGCUUUUAACCGGGAAGAAACCCCAGGACGUGUCCUGGGUUGACGGUACCGGAGGAAUAAGCACCGGCUAACUUCGUGCCAGCAGCCGCGGUAAUACGAAGGGUGCAAGCGUUAUCCGGAUUCAUUGGGUUUAAAGGGUGCGUAGGCGGAGCGUUAAGUCAGUGGUGAAAUCCUGCAGCUUAACUGUAGACUUGCCAUUGAUACUGGCGCUCUUGCGUGCGCUUGAAGUGGGCGGAAUGUGCCGUGUAGCGGUGAAAUGCUUAGAUAUGGCACAGAACACCAAUUGCGAAGGCAGCUCACUAAGGCGAUACUGACGCUGAGGCACGAAAGCGUGGGGAUCGAACAGGAUUAGAUACCCGGGUAGUCC